ACUGAGAUAGCAUAAAAAAUGUAAGAGACUUCGGGCCUCUAGAUAUGGUUACAAACCAUUCCCGGUU
rnacentral:tRNA from 1 species